rnacentral:RNase_P_RNA from 1 species
ACGUUCGGGUAAUCGCUGCAAGGAGCGUAUGCGCCUUGUAGAGGAAAGUCCAUGCUCGCACGGUGCUGAGAUGCCCGUAGUGAUCGUGCCUAGCGAAUCCAUAAGCUAGGGCAGUCUGGUUUCGACUGGACUGACGGCAGGGAACAUACCUAAGUCCAUUUGGAUAUGGUAUAAGUACCUUGAAAGUGCCACAGUGACGUAGCCUUGUGAGAAAUCGCAAGGGUGGAACGCGGUAAACCCCACGAGCGAGAAACCCAAAUGAUGGUAGGGGCACCUUCUCUGAGGAAAUGAACGAGGAGAAGGACAGGUAAGGUGAUCCUUAUCUGUAGAUAGAUGAUUACCGCCGGAGUACGAGAUGUAUAGUCGUUUGCAGUACGAAGGUACAGAACAUGGCUUAUAGAA